CAGCCGUGAAGGAAAAUUUUCAUGUGCAUUUGUGAUUAGGUAGAAUACUUUUUUUUGAUGACUAUGUAUUUUUAUCUUCCUCUGUUUUUGAGAAAUGCUGGUUAUGCUUGCCUCCUUAGAACAUUCACCUUCCCCACACACUUCUUAUAGAUACCUGAGACGGCAAACAGGAGCAUCCCUGAGAAAAGUAAUCAGAAGAAAGAACAGGGCAUAGGCUCUACCAGUGCUGGCAUCCCACCAAAUAUUGCCUUUAAAGACAACCAACCAUCUACCUAUGUGUGAAAACAGCUGAAGCUAAGGAUGGGAAGAGGAUGGGAAACCUACUGACAUACUUACCUAGUUCUCUUAUUAUAAAAGGGUGUGCUAUAUCUUUGUAUUCUGAAGACUCUGUUUCUGCAUUGAGCUCCAGUGUUUACUUAAUACAACAUCUCUUGAGCAAAAAAGAACCAUGGGCAAUUCAUCAUGGGUCUUCAAUCUUGAAUGACAGUAGUACUUAAAAAGAUGAUAUUCCAAGA
rnacentral:lncRNA from 1 species